rnacentral:rRNA from 1 species
AACGAACGCUGGCGGCAGGCUUAACACAUGCAAGUCGAGCGCCCCGCAAGGGGAGCGGCAGACGGGUGAGUAACGCGUGGGAAUCUACCCAUCUCUACGGAAUAACGCAUGGAAACGUGUGCUAAUACCGUAUACGUCCUUCGGGAGAAAGAUUUAUCGGAGAUGGAUGAGCCCGCGUUGGAUUAGCUAGUUGGUGGGGUAAAGGCCUACCAAGGCGACGAUCCAUAGCUGGUCUGAGAGGAUGAUCAACCACACUGGGACUGAGACACGGCCCAGACUCCUACGGGAGGCAGCAGUGGGGAAUAUUGGACAAUGGGCGCAAGCCUGAUCCAGCCAUGCCGCGUGAGUGAUGAAGGCCCUAGGGUUGUAAAGCUCUUUCACCGGUGAAGAUAAUGACAGUAACCGGAGAAGAAGCCCCGGCUAACUUCGUGCCAGCCGCCGCGGUAACAC